rnacentral:rRNA from 1 species
AAGCCCCAGUAAACGGCGGCCGUAACUAUAACGGUCCUAAGGUAGCGAAAUUCCUUGUCGGGUAAGUUCCGACCUGCACGAAUGGCGUAACGACUUUCCUACUGUCUCAACCACAGACCCGGCGAAAUUGAAGUACGAGUAAAGAUGCUCGUUAGCUGCAGAAGGACGGAACGACCCGUGUACCUUACUACACUUGAUGUGGUNUUGUNUGUGUUGUGUAGGAUAGGUGGGAGACUUGGAAGCAUUGGCGCCAG